UACGUAGGGGGCUAGCGUUGUCCGGAAUCAUUGGGCGUAAAGAGCGCGUAGGCGGCCAGAUAAGUCCGGUGUGAAAGUCAAAGGCUCAACCUUUGAAUGCCGCUGGAAACUGUCUGGCUAGAGUCCGGGAGGGGCGAGUGGAAUUCCUGGUGUAGCGGUGAAAUGCGCAGAUAUCAGGAGGAACACCAAUGGCGAAGGCAGCUCGCUGGAACGGUACUGGCGCUGAGGCGCGAAAGCGUGGGGAGCAAACAGG
rnacentral:rRNA from 1 species